AAGGCAUCUUCUCGGGUUUCGGAUUUCUCCACCGUGGUGUCUCAUCAUGAGUUCUGCUUGCAAGAGAUUAUUGAGCAAUGCUUCAAUUUCGUCUCUCAGAUCCGCCACCAGAUCUUCCCGCCCUAAGUCUCCCACGGUCGGAGCCAACAAUCGAUCUAUGCCUGCUGCCGCCUCACCUCUUCGCCACUUCUCGUUAUCCAGGUGUCCAUCUGAACUGGGAUGUGUUCAGUCUUUGUUACCGCUCCACAGCGCCGUCGCGGCCGCCCGGCUGACGUCGUGCCUCAGCACGACCUCCAGUAGCUGCAGGGCCCUCUCUCAGGGUACACUCUGCUGCACCUCUCCCGACCUCUAAUACUCUUUUCUCUUUUCUUCCUUGCACGUAACUUCACCGUCAUUUAAUGAAAAUGAACUGGGAAAUUUACCAUGUGGGGUUCUUGCAUCUGUAUCAAAUGGAGUUGAUGGCACAUGAGACGUAUUUGCUGUUGUUAAAGAGCUUGGUCUUUCUGUUCCGAGGUGACAUGCCAAUACCAUCAUGAAGACAUUUCGUUGGAUUUACCAUCGUUGAUGAGGCAAGUUGCUCUCUUUAUCUUGUUAAAACUUAGGGACAAGGAAGAAGAUCAUUCUUUAUCAAAUACUUCUAUCCCAUGUACUCUGAUUGGUUCAUACUUGUUUUGUGUUACAACUCCAUAGCCAAAGACCCAGAGCUUCAGUUGUGAUGAAAAAAAAAGGCAGUUUCACUAA